rnacentral:lncRNA from 1 species
GGAAGUUGCAAAUGAAUGGUACAGGGAAUAAGUUGAGACCAACUGUCAAGGCUAAGAGGUUUGGAUGGAAGGGUUUAGUAGGUGGAGAAGGAUCUGAACUGAGGAAGAAGAAGGAAGAAAAGAAGAAGAAAUCAUACAAAAAGAGAUUUGGAAGGUUUUGGAAUUGUGAAAGCCAGUGACUGAAAUUUGGGUAGGGGAUAUUUGGAAGAAAAAUGGAAGGCAGAGAAGAUCUUGAAAAGGUGACUGAGGAGAAAAGCUUGAAGAGGAGUAGGAAAAGAAGAAAGAGUUGUUAGAAUUGUUGAUAAGGAAGGAGAUAUUUCUGUAGUAGAAGAGAUUGGAGAGGAGGAAGGACUUGACAUGGAUAAGAAAAAGAAGGACGUUGUGAAUGACCUUUGGACUGGAAGGACCAGAAUGAAAAUAGCUAAUAGGAAGGUGAUACCCAAGAUAAGUAAGGAGACAAGAAAAAAUCAUCCAACUGCCCUUGAUGAAUUCAGGAUGCCAGGAAAAGGUGAGCUCUCUACAUCCUCAGGGACAGAAAGAACCUGCAACUU